CAAUAGCGUAUAUUAACGUUGUUGCAGUUAAAAAGCUCGUAGUUGGAUUUCUGGAGGGAGCGUCGGCCCGUAUUUACGAGUGCGUGACGUCUCUGUCCAUCCUUGCGGGAAGGCACGGCAUUGAUUUGUUGUGUCGGAUCGCAUCAUUUACUGUGAAAAAAUUAGAGUGUUCAAAGCAGGCUUUCGCUUGAAUACAUUAGCAUGGAAUAAUAAGAUAGUACUUUGGUGCUAUUUUGUUGGUUGAGCCUAAAGUAAUGAUUAAUAGGGAUAGUUGGGGGCACCUGUAUUGCGUUGUCAGAGGUGAAAUUCUUGGAUUUACGCAAGACAAACAGCUGCGAAAGCGUCUGCCAAGGAUGUUUUCAUUA
rnacentral:rRNA from 1 species